rnacentral:lncRNA from 1 species
CCCCCGCCGCCCGGCAGCAGCAGCGCCUCAGACCCGCCACCCAUCGCUGGAUGUUCCUCCACUUUACCCACCGUAUCAAACAACUUUUACCAGUAAAUAUCGGUUUAUUCCUGAAACCAGAAGCCCUAAACAUACCUUUGUUUAUAAGUUUUCCUGCUCUGCACCUCUGGGAACUGGAGCCUGCAGGACCUAGAGCCUUCUGUUGUGCACUGGUGUACCAAGCCUCAGAACCACUGCUUUCUCCAGCUCAUAGGAUGCUUUUCCAGACUGUGGAUACGUGUAUGUGUACUGCUGUGUUGAUAAGUAAAUGCCAACGAUGGAGUUCGUUGCUUUUAUACAUCCCAAAGAGAAGUUCUCCACCGUUCACUGUCUGUUUUCUGACCGAAAAGGCGUGUGUUUGUGAACAGUGUUCACGCCAGCUCUGCCAUCCCACCCUCACAUCAGCUCACACCAAUGCCAGGAUGGGAGGAGUUGCCUGCGUACCUUCCCCAAAACACCCUGGGCCACAGUGGCAUCGUCAGGGAGCAGUUCAAACCUGUGUCCUUUGGGCUUUGUGUAAAGCAAAUGCAGAACAAGAAAAAUCGAGAUGUUAA